CCGUAGAGGCACUCCCUCCGCAGCUUGAGUCCCGGGAAAACAUGGCGGCCCCCGCGUCACGGCCGGCUUUGAGCCCAGGCGCUGCAGAAGGGGAGGAGGAGACGAUUCUCUAUGACUUGUUGGUCAACACCGAGUGGCCACCGGAGACUGAAGUACAGCCUAGAGGCAACCGAAAACAUGGUGCAUCCUUUAUCAUCACGAAAGCAAUUCGAGAUCGUUUAUUAUUUUUACGCCAAUAUAUCUGGUACAGCCCUGCACCUUUUUUGCUCCCUGAUGCACUGGUUCGCUUGGUUAAUAAACAGAUAAACUGGCAUUUGAUACUUGCAAGCAAUGGAAAGCUUUUGGCUGCUGUUCAAGAUCAGUGUGUGGAAAUCAGGUCUGCAAAAGAUGAUUUUACAUCCAUAAUUGGGAAAUGUCAAGUUCCAAAAGACCCGAAACCCCAGUGGAGACGGGUAGCAUGGAGUUAUGAUUGUACCUUGCUGGCCUAUGCUGAAAGCACAGGAACUGUGAGGGUAUUUGAUCUCAUGGGAAGUGAACUCUUUGUCAUUUCCCCGGCUUCUAGUUUUAUAGGUGACCUAAGCUACGCCAUUGCUGGGUUGAUGUUUUUAGAAUACAAAGCAAGUGCGCAGUGGUCUGCAGAACUCUUGGUCAUCAAUUACCGAGGAGAACUUAGAAGUUACCUUGUAAGUGUUGGAACAAAUCAGAGCUACCAAGAAAGUCACUGUUUCAGCUUCAGUAGUCAUUAUCCUCAUGGAAUCAACACUGCUAUUUAUCAUCCUGGUCACAGACUUUUACUGGUUGGUGGAUGUGAAACUGCUGAAGUAGGUGUGUCAAAAGCUUCUAGCUGUGGCCUUUCUGCCUGGAGAGUUCUUUCAGGAUCACCUUAUUAUAAGCAGGUUACUAAUGGUGGAGAAAGGGUUAUAGCAGUACCAAAGACACUUGGAUUAUUAAGGAUGUUAAGUGUCAAGUUUUACAGUCGCCAGGGACAAGAACAGGAUGGAAUUUUUAAGAUGAGCCUUUCUCCGGAUGGGAUGCUCCUGGCAGCCAUUCACUUCUCAGGGAAACUGAGCAUCUGGGCGAUUCCAUCUCUGAAGCAGCAAGGGGAAUGGAGUCAAAAUGAGCAGCCAGGCUAUGAUGACCUUAAUCCUGAUUGGACGCUCUCGACUGAGAAGAGAAAAAAAAUCAAAGAUAAAGAGUCCUUUUACCCACUGAUAGACGUCAAUUGGUGGGCAGACAGUGCAGUGACUUUAGCUCGAUGUUCUGGUGCUUUAACUGUUUCAUCAGUGAAAACUUUGAAGAAUUUACUGGGGAAAUCCUGUGAGUGGUUUGAACCAUCACCUCAAGUCACUGCUACCCAUGAUGGGGGAUUUUUAAGUUUGGAGUGUGAGAUUAAACUUGCCCCCAAACGAUCUCGUUUGGAGACUAGGGCUGGAGAAGAAGAUGAAGGAGAAGAGGAUUCUGAUUCUGAUCACGAAAUAUCUGCCAAGGCUCGCUACUUUGAUUACAUAAAACAGGGCCUUUACUUAGUCACUGAAAUGGAACGCUUUGCACCACCACGGAAACGCCCACGAACCAUUACUAAAAACUACCGCCUUGUGAGUUUGCGCUCCACCACACCGGAGGAGCUUUAUCAGAGGAAGAUUGAAAGUGAGGAGUACGAGGAAGCCUUGGCCUUGGCUCAUACCUACGGCCUGGAUACUGACCUAGUAUAUCAGAGGCAGUGGAGGAAGUCAGCGGUCAACAUUGCUUCAAUUCAGAAUUAUUUGAGUAAAAUAAAGAAGCGAUCCUGGGUUCUCCACGAGUGUUUGGAAAGAGUUCCUGAAAAUCUGGAUGCUGUGAAAGAACUGCUUCAGUAUGGAUUAAAAGGCACAGACCUGGAGGCUCUGUUAGCAGUAGGGAAGGGGGCAGAUGAUGGCAGAUUUACAUUACCUGGUGAAACAGACAUUGACAGUAUCCCCUAUGAAGAGCUUUCACCACCCGUUGAAGAGCCUGCCAAGAAUAAAAAGGAAAAGGAAUUCAAGAAGAGACAAGAACUACUUAAAUUAGUGAACUUUUCAAAGUUGACACUGGAACAAAAGGAACUUUGUCGUUGUAGACGGAAAUUAUUAACCUACUUAGAUCGACUUGCAACAUAUGAGGAAAUCCUCGGAGUACCUCAUGCAUCCGAACACAGAUAUGAUGCUGAAUUCUUUAAGAAAUUCAGAAAUCAAAAUAUUGUUCUCUCAGCAAGAACUUAUGCUCAGGAAAGUAAUGUACAAGCCCUAGAAAUUCUGUUUACUUACCAUGGUUCCGACCUGCUUCCUCAUCGCCUUGCAAUUCUCUCCAACUUUCCAGAGACCACUUCUCCACAUGAAUAUUCUGUUUUGCUGCCCGAAGCCUGCUUUAACGGUGACUCCCUGAUGAUCGUUCCAUGGCAUGAACAUAAACACCGAGCUAAAGAUUGGUGUGAGGAGCUGGCGUGCAGAAUGGUUGUUGAGCUGAGUCUCCAAGAUGAAAGCGAAUUCUUGUAUGCUGCACAGCCUGAGUUACUAAGGUUCAGGACGACCCAGCUUACGGUGGAGAAGGUUAUGGACUGGUAUCAGACCAGAGCAGAGGAAAUAGAGCAUUAUUCCCUGCAGGUGGACUGUGCAUUGUCACUUAUUCGACUUGGAAUGGAGCGGAAUAUUCCUGGUUUGCUGGGUAUCUGUGAUAAUUUGGUUACUCUGGAAACACUGGUUUAUGAAGCUGGGUGUGACUUAACUCUAACCCUGAAAGAACUCCAGCAGAUGAAAGACAUUGAAAAACUCAGAUUACUGAUGAAUAGUUGUUCUGAGGACAAAUAUGUGACAAGUGCCUACCAGUGGAUGGUUCCCUUUCUUCAUCGUUGUGAGAAACAGUCGCCUGGUAUGGCCAAUGAGCUAUUAAAAGAAUAUUUAGUAACUUUAGCUAAAGGGGACUUAAAAUUUCCCCUGAAGAUUUUUCAGCAUUCCAAACCAGAUCUGCAGCAAAAAAUUAUUCCUGAUCAGGACCAACUGAUGGCAAUGGCACUAGAUUGCAUCUAUAACUGUGAACGAAAUGACCAACUCUCUCUCUGCUAUGACAUACUAGAAUGUCUGCCAGAAAGAGGAUAUGGUGAUAAGACAGAGGUGACCACAACUCUUCAUGACAUGGUAGACCAACUGGAACAAAUUCUCAGUGUUUCAGAGCUUUUGGAAAAACAUGGACUUGAGAAACCAAUUUCAUUUGUUAAAAACACUCAGUCUAGCUCAGAAGAGGCACGCAAGCUGAUGGUUAGAUUGACUAGGCACACCGGCCGGAAGCAGCCUCCUGUCAGUGAGUCCCAUUGGAGAACGUUGCUCCAGGACAUGUUAACUAUGCAGCAGAAUGUGUACACAUGUCUAGAUGCUGAUGCCUGCUAUGAGAUAUUUACAGAAAGCCUUCUGUGCUCUAGUCGCCUUGAAAACAUCCACCUGGCUGGGCAGAUGAUGCACUGCAGUGCUUGUUCAGCAAAUCUGCCAGCUGGAAUAGCCCAUAAAGGGAAACCCCACUACAGGGUCAGUUAUGAAAAGAGUAUUGACCUGGUUCUGGCUGCCAGCAGAGAGUACUUCAAUUCUUCCACCAACCUUACAGAUAGCUGCAUGGAUCUAGCCAGGUGUUGCUUACAACUGAUAACAGAUAGACCCCCUGCCAUUCAAGAGGAGCUAGAUCUUAUCCAAGCUGUUGGAUGUCUUGAAGAAUUUGGAGUAAAGAUUCUGCCUUUGCAAGUGCGAUUGUGCCCUGAUCGGAUCAGUCUUAUCAAGGAGUGUAUUUCCCAGUUCCCCACCUGCUAUAAACAAUCCACCAAGCUUCUGGGUCUUGCUGAGCUGCUGAGGGUUGCAGGUGAGGAUCCAGAAGAAAGGCGAGGACAGGUUCUAAUCCUUUUAGUGGAGCAGGCACUUUGCUUCCAUGACUACAAAGCAGCCAAUAUGCAUUGUCAGGAGCUGAUGGCCACAGGUUAUCCUAAAAGCUGGGAUGUUUGUAGCCAGUUAGGACAAUCAGAAGGUUACCAGGACUUGGCCACGCGUCAGGAGCUCAUGGCUUUUGCCUUGACACAUUGCCCUCCUAGCAGCAUUGAACUUCUUUUGGCAGCUAGCAGCUCUCUGCAGACAGAAAUUCUUUAUCAAAGAGUGAAUUUCCAGAUCCAUCAUGAAGGAGGGGAAAAUAUCAGUGCUUCAUCAUUAACUAGUAAAGCAGUACAAGAGGAUGAAGUAGGUGUUCCAGGUAGCAAUUCAGCUGACCUAUUACGCUGGACCACUGCCACCACCAUGAAAGUCCUUUCCAACACCACAACCACCACCAAGGCGGUGCUCCAGGCCGUCAGUGAUGGGCAGUGGUGGAAGAGGUCUUUAACUUAUCUUCGACCCCUUCAGGGGCAAAAAUAUGGUGGUGCAUAUCAAAUCGGAACUACAGCUAAUGAAGAUCUGGAAAAACAAGGGUGUCAUCCUUUUUAUGAAUCUGUCAUCUCAAAUCCUUUUGUCACUGAGUCUGAAGUGACCUAUGACACCUAUCAGCAUGUUCCAGUGGAAAGCUUUGCAGAAGUAUUGCUGAGGACUGGAAAACUGGCAGAAGCUAAAAAUAAAGGAGAAGAAGUCUUUCCAACAACUGAGGUUCUCUUGCAGCUAGCAAGUGAAGCCUUGCCAAAUGACAUGACCUUGGCUCUUGCUUAUCUUCUUGCCUUACCACAGGUGUUAGAUGCUAACCGGUGCUUUGAAAAGCAGUCCCACUCUGCGAUCUCUCUCCAGCUGGCAGCCUAUUACUACAGCCUACAGAUCUAUGCCCGGUUGGCCCCAUGUUUCAGGGACAAAUGCCAUCCUCUUUACAGGGCUGAUCCCAAAGAACUAAUCAAGAUGGUCACGAGGCAUGUGACUCGGCAUGGGCAGGAAGCCUGGCCUGAAGAUCUCGUUUCACUGACCAAGCAGUUACACCACUACAAUGAGCGUCUCCUGGAUUUCACUCAGGCGCAGAUCCUUCAGGGCCUUCGGAAGGGCGUGGACGUGCAGCGGUUUACUGCAGAUGCCCAGUAUAAAAGGGAAACUAUCCUUGGUCUGGCAGAAACCCUAGAGGAAAGCGUCUACAGCAUUGCUCUUUCUCUGGCACAGCGUUACAAUGUCUCCCGCUGGGAAGUUUUUAUGACCCAUUUGGAGUUCCUCUUUGCCGACAGUGGUUUGUCCACACUAGAAAUUGAAAAUAGAGCCCAAGACCUUCAUCUCUUUGAGACUUUGAGGACUGAUCCAGAAGCCUUUCACCAGCACAUGGUCAGGUAUAUUUACCCCACGAUUGGUGGCUUUGAUCACGAAAGGCUGCUGUAUUAUUUCACUCUUCUGGAAAACUGUGGCUAUGCAGGUUUGGAGAAGUAUGCCAUUAAACCAGAAACCCACAUUCGGCUGCUGAAGAAAUUUAAGGUUGUUGCAUCAGGUCUUAAUUACAAAAAGCUGACAGAUGAAAACAUGAGUCCUCUUGAGGCACUGGAGCCAGUUCUUUCAAGUCAAAAUAUCUUAUCUAUUUCCAAACUUGUUCCCAAAAUCCCUGAAAAGGAUGGACAGAUGCUUUCCCCGAGCUCUCUGUACACCAUCUGGUUACAGAAGUUGUUCUGGACUGGAGACCCUCAUCUCAUUAAACAAGUCCCAGGCUCUUCACCGGAGUGGCUGCAUGCCUAUGAUGUCUGCGUGAAGUACUUUGAUCGUCUCCACCCAGGUGACCUCAUCACUGUGGUCGAUGCAAUUACAUUUUCUCCUAAAGCUGUGACCAAGCUGUCUGUGGAAGUCCGUAAAGAGAUAACUAGAAAGGCUAUUAAGACAGUCAAACAUUUUAUUGAGAAGCCAAGGAAAAGAAACUUAGAAGAUGAAACUCAAGAAGCUGUGGAUUCUAAAGUUACCUAUGCAGAUACUUUGAGUCAUCUGGAGCAGUCACUUGCUCACCUGGAAACCCUGAGUCAUAGUUUCAUCGUUUCUCUGAAGAAUAGUGAGCAGGAAACCCUGCAAAAAUACGGUUACCUCUAUGAUCUGUCCCGGUCAGAAAAAGAGAAACUUCGUGAUCAAGCCGUGGCUAUUUGUUUAGAUGGUCAGCCUCUAGGAAUGAUUCAGCAGCUGCUAGAGGUGGCAGUUGGCCCUCUUGACAUCUCUCCCAAGGAUAUAGUGCAGAGUGCAAUAAUGAAAAUAAUUUCCGCAUUGAGUGGAGGCAGUGCCGACCUUGGUGGGCCAAGGGACCCACUGAAGGUUCUGGAAGGUGUUGUUGCAGCGGUCCACGCCAGUGUGGACAAGGGAGAGGAUCUGGUUUCAUCUGAGGACCUGCUGGAGUGGCUGCGGCCUUUCUGUGCUGAUGACGCCUGGCCGGUGCGACCCCGCAUUCACGUGCUGCAGAUUUUGGGUCAAUCAUUUCACCUGACUGAGGAGGACAGCAAGCUCCUCGUGUUCUUUAGAACUGAAGCCAUUCUCAAAGCCUCUUGGCCCCAGAGACAGGUAGACAUAGCUGACAUCGAGAAUGAAGAGAACCGCUACUGUCUAUUCAUGGAGCUCCUGGAAUCUAGCCACCAUGAGGCUGAAUUUCAGCACUUGGUUUUACUUUUACAAGCUUGGCCCCCUAUGAAAAGUGAAUAUGUCAUAACCGAUAAUCCAUGGGUGAGACUGGCUACCAUGAUGCUAACCAGAUGUACAAUGGAGAACAAGGAAGGAUUGGGGAAUGAAAUUUUGAAAAUGUGUCGCUCUUUGUAUAACACCAAGCAGAUGCUGCCUGCAGAGGGUGUGAAGGAGCUGUGUCUGCUGCUGCUUAACCAGUCCCUCCUGCUUCCGUCUCUGAAACUUCUUCUCGAGAGCAGAGAUGAGUGUCUGCACGGCAUGGCACUGGAGCACAUCGCGGCUGUCACUACGAUUUCCAGCUGCUUUGGUGAAACAUGGUACCUGCUUCACACCCUGAACUGUGAAUGUCUUGUGAUUGCUGUGUUUAAGGAAGAGGCCUGAUCCCUUAGCCAAAACCCUGGAGAACAGAUGUGCUUUGGAAUUGAGACCUUUUCAGAUCUUAAAAAGCAUCAAUUCAGUCAAGAGCUCCAAGUUCCAAGUCCAAAGAACAGCGUCUCAUCUGGAGAUAAGAUCCUUCCACCUAUGAUCCUGUAAAAUCAAAUCCAAAUUACUUACUUCAAAGUAAUGGUGGAACAGGCAUUGGGUAAACAUUCCCCUUCUAAAAAGGGGAAAAUUGGCCCAAAGAAAAAGGUAACAAGCCCAACCCAAGUCUGAAACCUAGCAGGGCAGUCAUUAAAUCUUAAAGCUCCAAAAUAAUCUCCUUUGACUCCACCUCCCACAUCCAGGGCACACAGGGACAAGGGGUGGCAAUAUGGUUUGGUUCUCUAUCCCUGUCCAAAUCUCAUGUUCAGUUGUAUUCCCCAGUCUUAGAGGAGGCCUGGUGGAAGAUGAUGAGAUCAUGGGAGUGGAUCCCUCAUGAGUGCUUUAGUACUAUCCUCUUGGUAAUGUCCUCAUGAUAGUGAGUGAGUUCUGGUGAGAUCUAGUCAUUUAAAUGUGUAUGACAACUCUCCCCUGUCUUCCUUGUUCCUGCCUUUGCCAUGUGACAUGCCUGCUCCUGCUUCAUCUUUUGCCAUGAUUGUAAGCUUCUUGAGGUCCCCCAGAAGCUGAUGCCAGAACUGUGCUUCUUGUAUAGCCUGCAGAACUGUGAGCCAAUUAAACUUCUUUUCUGUAUAAAUUA